AUUGAACGCUGGCGGCAUGCCUUACACAUGCAAGUCGAACGGCAGCACGGGGGCUUGCCCCGGGUGGCGAGUGGCGCGCGGGUGAGUAAUACAUGAGAACACGUCCUGGAGUGGGGGAUAGCCCGGCGAAAGCCGGAUUAAUACCGCAUGCGAUCUACGGGUGAGAGCGGGGGCCCCUCGGGCCUCGCGCUAUAGGGUUGGCAGAUGGCUGAUUAGCUAGUUGGUGGGGUAAAGGCCUACCAAGGCGACGAUCAGUAGCUGGUCUGAGAGGAUGACCAGCCACACUGGGACUGAGACACGGUCCAGACUCCUACGGGAGGCAGCAGUGGGGAAUUUUGGACAAUGGGCGAAAGCCUGAUCCAGCCAUGCCGCGUGUGUGAAGAAGGCCUUCGGGUUGUAAAGCACUUUUGUCCGGAAAGAAAUCCUUGACGCUAAUACGGUCGGGGGAUGACGGUACCGGAAGAAUAAGCACCGGCUAACUACGUG
rnacentral:rRNA from 1 species